GGAAUAUUGGACAAUGGGCGAAAGCCUGAUCCAGCCAUGCCGCGUGUGUGAAGAAGGUCUUCGGAUUGUAAAGCACUUUAAGUUGGGAGGAAGGGCAGUUACCUAAUACGUGACUGUCUUGACGUUACCGACAGAAUAAGCACCGGCUAACUCUGUGCCAGCAGCCGCGGUAAUACAGAGGGUGCAAGCGUUAAUCGGAAUUACUGGGCGUAAAGCGCGCGUAGGUGGUUUGUUAAGUUGAAUGUGAAAUCCCCGGGCUCAACCUGGGAACUGCAUCCAAAACUGGCAAGCUAGAGUAUGGUAGAGGGUAGUGGAAUUUCCUGUGUAGCGGUGAAAUGCGUAGAUAUAGGAAGGAACACCAGUGGCGAAGGCGACUACCUGGACUGAUACUGACACUGAGGUGCGAAAGCGUGGGGAGCAAACAGGAUUAGAUACCCCAG
rnacentral:rRNA from 1 species